rnacentral:tRNA from 1 species
GCCGCGGUGAUGGAAAGGUAGACAUGAGGGGCUUAAAACCCCUUGCUCGAAAGGGCGUGUGGGUUCGAUUCCCGCCCGCGGCA